UACAGAGGUCUCAAGCGUUGUUCGGAUUCAUUGGGCGUAAAGGGUGCGUAGGCGGCGCGGUAAGUCGGGUGUGAAAUCUCGGAGCUUAACUCCGAAACUGCAUUCGAUACUGCCGUGCUUGAGGACUGGAGAGGAGACUGGAAUUUACGGUGUAGCGGUGUAAUGCGUAGAUAUCGUAAGGAAGACCAGUGGCGAAGGCGGGUCUCUGGACAGUUCCUGACGCUGAGGCACGAAGGUCAGGGGAGCAAACGGG
rnacentral:rRNA from 1 species